CAUCAAUUCAUUCUUCCCCUUAACAUAAACGCCGACCGCCUGCUGUAUCCAAGGCGCACUGCUGAGCAUGUGUCGGAUGCAGAGAUCCUCUACAAUUUGGAAAGUGAUCCCUUGAGACAAUGGGUUCCAUUUUUGAGUGCUUUUUCUAUACCUCCCAGACUAAGAGAUUUGGAAAUGGGGCAACUUCUGCUCAUCAUUUAAUAUUUAACUCAGGAUUCUCCUCUCUGUGUACCUUCUGUGACUUGUGAACAUGGAUCCAACCCCUCCCUCUUAUGUACUGAAAUUGUACCUGGUACACACUUCUAUACAACACUUACAUUGUGUCACAGUAAUACACUGACUUCCUUCAGGUCUUGUAAAUUGAGGAGAGAGAAUCAGUCCAAUGGAUGGCCAAUCCCAUGGUUGGCACAUAGAAGGCACUUACAAAAGUUUAUUGAAUUGAAAUGGAAAUUUCACCUUAAAAAAUAUUUUUAAUCAUUAACAAAGUUGGAGCUUUAUACACAAAAGAUAAUAAAGGAAGAAAAUAGCAAAAAGACCAAGAAAUAGCUAUCUAUGGCUGAUUUAACUUGUUUACCAUCAGAUGCUUUAUUUUUAUUCCUGCUAUCAAACGUGUGCCCAUCUCCUGAAGAGGUGUAAUUUCAAAAGCCAUAAAUUCUUUUCUCUUUACAUCACAAAAGAGAGAGGACAAAAUCAGCGAUCAAGGGAAAGCAUGAGACAGACAUGCCCUUGGAGAAGCCACAGCCUGUCUCUGGUGACCACGACUAAUAGGAGCCAAGAAGGUCAAAACCCUGCACCACAGCAUCUGUGACUCAGGUCCCAAGUACACGGGGCCUGAGGAGGCUCUGGUUGCAUUCAAGACAUGAUGGAUAUUUAAGAUGCCAGUGACAUAAUCUGACAAAAGUCCGUUUUCUUCUAUCUGAGUGCAAAGCUGAAGUCCAUUCUCAGAGACAUGAAAAUCAAUCACUGUGCAGCUUCCUAGAGAGUCAAGUAACAGGUCCCUUCUGGGCCCUCCCAGAUCAUUCCUAAGCAAAAGCUAGAUUGCUUUUCUUCUCUCCUUCAAAUAUGUUUAACCAUCACGUGAACUCAAUGCAUCCCAACGGCCCCCACAGCUCGUGUCCACAUGGUGUCGUUACUGAGUCCUUUGUAUCAGCUCCAGUUCUUCUCUCUUCAGGUUUUGAGCAGAAAGGAAGUUCUCCGGAGCCUUAUUGCAUGCUCAUCUCCACCUGCUCUCUGCAGAAGUUUCCAGAUUGCUCCUCAUUCAGUUUUGGAAAAUUGGCCUUAAUGUUUAUCAAAUAUCUACUCUGUAUCAGACAUAAGGCAUAUGCAUACAUGCAUCAUUUUAUUUAGUCUUCAUGACAAGUGGGAAGGGAAUUAUUAUUGUCCCCAUUUUAAGGAUAGAGGAAUGCUAGAGCAGAGACGUAUAGGAACGCAGCUUGGCUCCCGGAGCUAACCUCUUGGAGAGCAGAGAUUCCCAGGAUUUGGACCCUGAGGCCCAUUCUCUUAAGCACUAUACUUCCUUGCUCUCUUUCUUCUGCCUGAGCACUGCCAUUAGGCUCCUGUGCUCACAUGUUCCAGCCACCCAGGCAGGGCCAGCCGAAGUCAUCUGUGAGAUUUUUUAGCAAACACACAGCCCUAAAUACAGCCUGGUGGCCCAUGUGACUCUAGAGGCUCCAGACCACCUGAGUUGGCCACCAUUCACUGAGGACACUGUUUCUCCCUCCUUGGCUC
ensembl:lncRNA